rnacentral:rRNA from 1 species
UUCCGGUUGAUCCUGCCGGACCCCACUGCUAUCGGGAUAGGACUAAGACAUGCUAGUCGAGCGCCUCCCAGCCACGACGGAGGCGCGGCGCACAGCUCAGUAACACGUGGCUAACCUGCCCUCGGGACGGGAAUACCCCCGGGAAACUGGGGCUAAUCCCCGAUAGGUGAAGAACUCUGGAAUGAGUCUCCGCCCAAAAGACGCUUAAAUCAUGCUUUUAGGCGCCGCCCAAGGAUGGGGCCGCGACCGAUCAGGUAGUUGGUGAGGCAACGGCUCACCAAGCCUUUAACCGGUGCGGGCCGUGGGAGCGGGAGCCCGGAGAUGGGCACUGAGACAAGGGCCCAGGCCCUACGGGGCGCAGCAGUCGCGAAAACUUUGCAAUACACGAAAGUGUGACAGGGCUAUCCCGAGUGCCAUCCGCUGAGGAAGGCUUUUACCCAGUCUAGAAAGCUGGGAGAAUAAGGAGAGGACAAGUCUGGUGUCAGCCGCCGCGGUAAUACCAGCUCUCCGAGUGGUGUGGAUGUUUAUUGGGCCUAAAGCAUCCGUAGCUGGCCAAGUUAGUCCCCUGUUAAAUCCACCGAAUUAAUCGUUGGUGUGCGGGGGAUACUGCUCGGCUAGGAGACGAGAGAGGCCGACGGUAUUUUCGGGGUAGGGGUGAAAUCCUAUAAUCCCGGGAAGACCACCAGUGGCGAAGGCUGUCUGCUGGAACGCGCCCGACGGUGAGGGAUGAAAGCUGGGGGAGCGAACCGGAUUAGAUACCCGGGUAGUCCCAGCUGUAAACGAUGCAGACUAGGUGUUUGGACGGCCACGUGCCGUUCUAGUGCCGCAGGGAAGCUGUUAAGUCUGCCGCCCGGGGAGUACGAUCGCA